GGGUGGGGGAAGAGUAACACCUGGAAUUUUCUUUCCACUACCUCAAGAAACCCACAGUGGAGGGGCUGUGAGUGCUCCUAAGAACAUGUUCUGCACUGGUGCCUCAAUAGAAAAGGGGGUUGCCAACUGAGUUAUAUAUAGAACUUGUGCAAGGGAAGUUCUUAUGCAAAAUGACUAAACACACUCCAUUGCUCUGCCUGGUUACUUAUAAAUAUGUUUAUGUGCAGAAGUUGAUGGGAAUCCAGACAUUGUCUAAGAGAUGGCUCAGAGAAUAAAAUAAGAAAAAGUUGUUGUGAAAGACAAAGGGUUUCUAUGUUACCUGCAGCAGUUGAUGACAGUCUGUCCUUCUGUCACAGUAGAGGCAGUUUAAGCCACAUUCCCAACAAGCAUUCCAUAUAUCUAGCACUAACACAUUGGAACUUGAGGGAGACUAUGUGACGUAGCUUUACUCUAGGGAGAGAUAGACAGUCUGGGGUGGAGAGGGAAGUGAGACCCCAUGGGUGAUCUCUACAGUUAUGUAACUGUCCAGCCACAAAUCACUUAUCAAAGAACUGGAUUCAGAAGACCAAGAUCUGCAUUUGGGUCACUCCAGUUAUCUUGAGAUCUGGGACCCGUGGGGCUGGGGUGGCAGCCGAUCAUGUCAGGAGGACUCCUCUGCACAGCAUCACAAGCACAGGAGAGAAUGCUAAACUUGAUUGGGAGCUCACAGAAGACCCCUGGAACCCAGAGCAAUAAGCUUCAUUUCAGAUAUAUGGGGCUGUUUCUACAACAAUAGAACUCAUGGACACAUGGACAAGAUGGCUUUGGUUGUGUUUGAAAAAAGGGUCAGCAGCAAAGGGACCAAGAACAUAUAUUGCUGAAAGACAAAUCUCUUAAAUAAAUGGUGCUGGAAAAACUGAUAUCUACAUGCAGAAGAAUGAAACUAGACCCCUAUCUCUCACCAUAUACACACAUCAAAUCAAAGUGGAUUAAAGACUUAAAGUGAGGACCUGAAACUAUGAAACUACUAGAAGAAAACAUUGGGAAAACUCUCCAGGACAUUGGUCUGGGCACAGAUUUCUUGAAUAAGACUCAAAUGCACAGGCAACUAAAGCAGGAAAUGGACAAAUGGAUUAUAGCAAGCUAAAAAGCUUCUACAAAGCAAGGGAAACCAUCAAUGAAGUCAAGAGAUAACAUUCAGAACAUAAGAAAAUAUUUGCAAACUAUUCAUUUGACAAGGGAUUAAUAACUAAAAUAUCUAAGGAGCUCAAACAACUCAAUAACAACAAAAAAAUCCAAUUUACAAAUAGGCAAAAGAUCUGAAUAGACAUAUGUCAAAGGAAGACAUGCAAAUGGCCAACAGGUAUGUGGAAAAUUCCUUAACAUCACUAAUCAAGGAAAUGCAAAUCAAAACCACAAUGAGAUAUCAUCUUACACCAAUUAAAAUAGCUGUUAUC
rnacentral:lncRNA from 1 species